rnacentral:piRNA from 1 species
UAAUUACAGCCACUAGCCAUCACUUAAC